UGAAAUGAUAUUAAUGGCCACUUUAUCACAGCAUUGUUUAUUAGUUUAUUUCACAAUCCCCCACGCUGGAUUUAGCAUCAGGCAUUGAAGUUCUGCUUGUGAAGCUGUCAAACACAAACACACCCUCAGGAGUUUCUUCCACUGCUUUACUAUAAAAACAGACGCUCCAGCUCAAUCUGCACUCCAGCUUUCACACACGACUGAAGACAGGAGGAAUCAACAACUGAAUCUCCAUCUAACAACACUGAAGAUGGGAAAGCGGCUCGUAUCGGGGUUGGAUGUGACCCUGAUGCUGUUGUUUGCACUGGUCAGUUCACUGUCAGCUGGGGAAGCAGAGACGAUCAGAGAAGUCAGUGGGGAGGCCGAAUCCUCAAACA